rnacentral:tRNA from 1 species
UUUUAAUUAGUAUAAUGUGUACAUUUACCUUCCAAGUAAAAAGUCUAUAAAUUAGAUUAAGCG